rnacentral:lncRNA from 1 species
GGACACACCCUCAGCUCCCUCAGCUCCCUGUUCUCUGAGCUUCACUUACUGCAGAAAACUUCUCCACAACUUCUCACCAGGUUCUGCAGGCUCUUCAGAUAAUACAGAGAGGACCCCCAAACCGCGCUGUUGUGUUGUUUUAGCGUUAGAAAUUAGUAGGAAACUCAGAAAGUAGUUUUAAAGCCUGUUUUUAUCCGCCAGCAUGACUUCAUACCUGUGGAUUUUAGUGCUGGCGGCUCUGGCGGUGUCGAGAGCGCAGGAUGAUCUCAGCCUUUUCGAUGCUCUAGAUGAUGAUGAACCAACUCCACCUCCAGUAAAACCUCCUAAAGCUGGAGGAGAUGGUGAGCUCGAUCUAUCUGAUGCCUUUGGUCCAGACAUACCAGAAAAGCCUAAGAAGCCUGCAGGAGACCCAUCUAAAACUGGAGACUCUAGUAAGACAGUCUUUAUUAGGCUCCUUAAGCCUAAUCCUGAUCAUUAUGAGCAUUCACACUAAAAGUUCAUUAUGCAUUAUACAUUAUUUACUGCCUACGAUAUAUGGAUUAUUGUCCUCUAUACAUUAUUCAAUGCCUACUAUAAGUGAUUCACUAUCUGUACUAAAAAGUCAAUUAGCUAUUAUAAAUGUUUUAUUAUGCAUUAUACAUUAUUCAGUACCAACUAGAAAUGGUUAAUAAUCCUCUAUACAUUUUUCAAAAUCUACUCUGAGUGACUCUCUACAAUAAAAGCUCCAGUAGCUAGGGGUGCGAAUUUGCA